GGAACUAAUGCUGAGAGAGGAAGAAACACAUAAUGAUCUGCUUUUCCCACACCAUAAAUGAUUUUACAGUCCUCAUGAGAGGGAGAGAGAAGCUGGACCAGCGAAGUAGAACUGAGGAAGAUGCUGUAGACAUACAAAGAAUUUUCUUCAGUCUAUCCCACUGGUUCCCAGUCUGUGGGUUGUAACCACCAAGAGUACGAAGAAAGUUUGCCCAGGAUGCAUAGUGCCUGGAGGUUUGUAGUGCCACCCCCGUUCUUAUGGCAAUCCAU